rnacentral:rRNA from 1 species
CCAACAAGGCCUUUACUGACGCUAAAGCUCGAAGGUGCGGGUAUCGAACAGGAUUAGAUACCCUGGUAGUCCGCACGGUAAACGAUGGAUGCCCGCUGUUUGCGAUAUACUGUGAGCGGCCAAGAGAAAUCGUUAAGCAUCCCACCUGGGGAGUACGCCGGCAACGGUGAAACUCAAAGGAAUUGACGGGGGCCCGCACAAGCGGAGGAACAUGUGGUUUAAUUCGAUGAUACGCGAGGAACCUUACCCGGGCUUGAACUGCAGCGGAAGGAUACAGAGAUGUUGACGCCCUUCGGGGCCGCUGUGGAGGUGCUGCAUGGUUGUCGUCAGCUCGUGCCGUGAGGUGUCGGCUUAAGUGCCAUAACGAGCGCAACCCUUUUCAUUAGUUGCCAUCAGGUAAUGCUGGGCACUCUGGUGAUACUGCCACCGUAAGGUGUGAGGAAGGUGGGGAUGACGUCAAAUCAGCACGGCCCUUACGUCCGGGGCUACACACGUGUUACAAUGGGGGGUACAGAGAGUCGGAUGUACGCAAGUACAUUCUAAUCCUAAAAGCCUUCCUCAGUUCGGAUUGGGGUCUGCAACCCGACCCCAUGAAGCUGGA